UGAGGAAUAUUGGGCAAUGCCCGCAAGGGUGACCCAGCAACGCCGCGUGGAGGAUGAAUGUCGUAAGAUUGUAAACUCCUGUUAGAGGGGAAGAAUAGUACCGGUUGGACCGGUAUAUGACUGUACCCUCAGAGAAAGCCCCGGCUAACUACGUGCCAGCAGCCGCGGUAAUACGUAGGGGGCAAGCGUUGUCCGGAUUUACUGGGUGUAAAGGGCGCGCAGGCGGGAUAAAAAGUCAGUGGUGAAAUCCUACAGCUUAACUGUAGAACUGCCUUUGAUACUUUUAUUCUUGAGUUCGGGAGAGAGAGACGGAAUUCCAGGUGUAGUGGUGAAAUACGUAGAUAUCUGGAAGAACAUCAGUUGCGAAGGCGGUCUCUUGGUCCGACACUGACGCUGAGGCGCGAAAGCGUGG
rnacentral:rRNA from 1 species